rnacentral:rRNA from 1 species
UGACGGAGCAAUGUCGCGUGGAGGAUGAACGCCUAUGGGUUGUAAACCCCUUUUGUCAGGGAAGAAUAAUGACGGUACCUGACGAAUAAGCCUCGGCUAACUCCGUGCCAGCAGCCGCGGUAAUACGGAGGAGGCAAGCGUUAUCCGGAAUUAUUGGGCGUAAAGCGUCCGCAGGUGGUUGGUCAAGUCUGCUGUCAAAGCGCGAGGCUCAACUUCGUAAAGGCAGUGGAAACUGACUCACUAGAGUGCGGUAGGGGUAGAGGGAAUUCCCAGUGUAGCGGUGAAAUGCGUAGAUAUUGGGAAGAACACCGGUGGCGAAGGCGCUCUACUGGACCUGCACUGACACUGAGGGACGAAAGCUAGGGGAGCG